AGCGAACGUUAGCGGCGGGCCUAACACAUGCAAGUCGAACGGAUCGUAGCAAUACGGUCAGUGGCGCACGGGUGCGUAACGCGUAGAUAAUCUACCUCUAAGUGGGGGAUAACUAGGGGAAACUCUAGCUAAUACCGCAUAAGACCACGGGGCCUUCGGGUCCUGAGGGAAAAGACGGCCUCUGAAUAUGCUGUCGCUAGGAGAUGAGUCUGCGUCCCAUCAGCUAGUUGGUGAGGUAAUGGCUCGCCAAGGCAAAGACGGGUAGCUGGUCUGAGAGGAUGAUCAGCCACACUGGCACUGGAACACGGGCCAGACUCCUACGGGAGGCAGCAGUGGGGAAUAUUGGGCAAUGGGCGCAAGCCUGACCCAGCCACGCCGCGUGAGUGAUGAAGGCCUCGGUUGUAAAGCUCUGUGGGAGGGACGAAAGACCGUUACCUAAUACGUAACGGGUUGACGGUACCGUCCUUACGUCAAGCACCGGCUAACUCUGUGCCAGCAGCCGCGGUAAGU
rnacentral:rRNA from 1 species